CGUCAAGAGAGUGGAAAGUACAAGAUAAAGUUAUUUUUAUGUUUUUUUGUUAAUGCUUACUUCUAGCAUACAAAACGUACAUUUAUCAGACUGCUUUGUUUUAGUUGUACUUCGUUGUAAUUUAUCAGACUACUUUGUUGUAGUAGCUCGUAACUUAGCUUGCCAGCACACAAUUCCCGCCUAGCGCUGUAUGGAGUCUGCCUUCACAAUUUAAAAAAUUAACGGUUGGUGGCUUGUUUCAAUCAAUAGUUGUCUGACGAUUGAAGGAGCAGUAGCAUGCCGAGAGAUCAUCCAGCACUGCACUAAAGACAACCAGUAAAGGCUUCCCACCUGACUUCCUACACGACCUGUUUGAAGGUGUCAUUUCAGUGGAGUUGGCACAUUGUUUAAAGGUUUGAUUUCUAAGAGAUAUUUUAACUUAGAAGACUUAAACAGAGCAAUUCUGCACUUUCCAUACCAACAUUCUGACAAAGUUAAUCGCCCUCAUCCAAUAACCUCAAAUUUUGCCAGGCGAGGGACCAUGGCCAGCACUCUUUCAUGAGACACAGCUCUACUUUGAAUUUCAUCGGAUCACCAAUCAGAAUCUGCCACAUGUGUUUUAUGCUGCGCUGGAUGAUUAUGCUCCUCAGCUGACUGGACUUUACAAAAAGAGGAAAACUGGACGGGUCGGUGAAAGGAUGGAGCAGCUUUUGUCGGCAUAUGGAAAACAG
ensembl:lncRNA